UACGUAGGCAGCAAGCGUUGUUCGGAGUUACUGGGCGUAAGGGUGUGUAGGCGGUUGGAUAAGAGUGGUGUGAAAUCUCCCGGCUUAACUGGGAGGGUGCGCUACAGACUGUCUGACUAGAGUGUGGGAUGGGUAAGUGGAAUUCCUGGUGUAGCGGUGAAAUGCGUAGAUAUCAGGAGGAACACCGGUGGUGUAGACGGCUUACUGGACCAUAACUGACGUGGAGACACGAAAGCGUGGGUAGCAAACAGG
rnacentral:rRNA from 1 species